UACGGAGGGGGCUAGCGUUGUUCGGAAUUACUGGGCGUAAAGCGCACGUAGGCGGCUUUGUAAGUUAGAGGUGAAAGCCCAGGGCUCAACCCUGGAAUUGCCUUUAAGACUGCAUCGCUUGAACAUCGGAGAGGUAAGUGGAAUUCCGAGUGUAGAGGUGAAAUUCGUAGAUAUUCGGAAGAACACCAGUGGCGAAGGCGACUUAUUGGACGAUUGUUGACGCUGAGGUGCGAAAGCGUGGGGAGCAAACAGG
rnacentral:rRNA from 1 species